GACGAACGCUGGCGGCGUGCCUAACACAUGCAAGUCGAGCGAAGAAUAUAUAAAGAAAUCUUCGGAUGGAAUUAUGUAUUUCUUAGCGGCGGACGGGUGAGUAACGCGUGAGGAACCUGCCUUGUACUAGGGGAUAGCCUCGGGAAACCGGGAUUAAUACCCUAUGAUACUUGAAAGUCGCAUGACUUUCAAGUCAAAGCGAUUUAGCGGUACAAGAUGGCCUCGCGUCCCAUUAGCUAGUUGGCGAGGUAAUAGCUCACCAAGGCGACGAUGGGUAGCCGGCCUGAGAGGGUGAACGGCCACACUGGAACUGAGACACGGUCCAGACUCCUACGGGAGGCAGCAGUGGGGAAUAUUGCACAAUGGAGGAAACUCUGAUGCAGCGACGCCGCGUGAGCGAUGAAGGUUUUCGAAUCGUAAAGCUCUGUCCUAAGGGACGAUAAUGACGGUACCUUAGGAGGAAGCCCCGGCUAACUACGUGCCAGCAGCCGCGGUAAUACGUAAGGGGCGAGCGUUGUCCGGAUUUAUUGGGCGUAAAGGGUGCGUAGGCGGCCUUGUAAGUCAGAUGUGAAAUCUCACGGCUUAACCGUGGUAAGCAUUUGAAACUGUGAGGCUUGAGUACAGGAGAGGAGAGUGGAAUUCCUAGUGUAGCGGUGAAAUGCGUAGAUAUUAGGAGGAAUACCAGUGGCGAAGGCGACUCUCUGGACUGUAACUGACGCUGAGGCACGAAAGCGUGGGGAGCAAACAGGAUUAGAUACCCUGGUAGUCCACGCCGUAGACGAUGAGUGCUAGGUGUCGGGGGUCAAACCUCGGUGCCGCAGUUAACACAUCAAGCACUCCGCCUGGGGAGUACGGUGGCAACGCUGACACUC
rnacentral:rRNA from 1 species